GACGAACGCUGGCGGCGUGCCUAAUACAUGCAAGUUGAGCGCUGAAGGUUGGUACUUGUACCAACUGGAUGAGCAGCGAACGGGUGAGUAACGCGUGGGGAAUCUGCCUUUGAGCGGGGGACAACAUUUGGAAACGAGUGCUAAUACCGCAUAAAAACUUUAAACACAAGUUUUAAGUUUGAAAGAUGCAAUUGCAUCACUCAAAGAUGAUCCCGCGUUGUAUUAGCUAGUUGGUGAGGUAAAGGCUCAUCAAGGCGAUGAUACAUAGCCGACCUGAGAGGGUGAUCAGCCGCAUUGGGACUGAGACACGGCCCAAACGGCUACGGGAGGCAGCAGUAGGGAAUCUUCGGCAAUGGACGAAAGUCUGACCGAGCAACGCCGCGUGAGUGAAGAAGGUCUUCGGAUCGUAAAACUCUGUUGGUAGAGAAGAACGUUGGUGAGAGUGGAAAGCUCAUCAAGUGACGGUAACUACCCAGAAAGGGACGGCUAACUACGUG
rnacentral:rRNA from 1 species